GAUGAACGCUAGCGGCAGGCUUAAUACAUGCAAGUCGUGGGGCAGCAUGAGUGUAGCAAUACAUUUGAUGGCGACCGGCAAACGGGUGCGGAACACGUACACAACCUUCCUUCAAGUGGGGAAUAGCCCAGGGAAACUUGGAUUAAUACCCCGUAAUAUUAUGGAGUGGCAUCACUUUAUAAUUAUAGCUCCGGCGCUUGAUGAUGGGUGUGCGCCUGAUUAGGUAGUUGGCGGGGUAACGGCCCACCAAGCCUUCGAUCAGUAACUGGUGUGAGAGCACGACCAGUCACACGGGCACUGAGACACGGGGCCCACUCCUACGGGAGCAGCAGUAAGGAUAUUGGUCAAUGGACGCAAGUCUGAACCAGCCAUGCCGCGUGAAGGAUGAAGGCCCU
rnacentral:rRNA from 1 species